CUGGCUCAGGAUGAACGCUGGCGGCGUGCUUAACACAUGCAAGUCGAACGAUGAAGCCCAGCUUGCUGGGUGGAUUAGUGGCGAACGGGUGAGUAACACGUGAGUAACCUGCCCUUAACUCUGGGAUAAGCCUGGGAAACUGGGUCUAAUACCGGAUAGGAGCGUCCACCGCAUGGUGGGUGUUGGAAAGAUUUAUCGGUUUUGGAUGGACUCGCGGCCUAUCAGCUUGUUGGUGAGGUAAUGGCUCACCAAGGCGACGACGGGUAGCCGGCCUGAGAGGGUGACCGGCCACACUGGGACUGAGACACGGCCCAGACUCCUACGGGAGGCAGCAGUGGGGAAUAUUGCACAAUGGGCGCAAGCCUGAUGCAGCGACGCCGCGUGAGGGAUGACGGCCUUCGGGUUGUAAACCUCUUUCAGUA
rnacentral:rRNA from 1 species